UACGUAGGGUGCGAGCGUUGUCCGGAAUUAUUGGGCGUAAAGAGCUCGUAGGCGGUUUGUCGCGUCGGCCGUGAAAUCUCCACGCUUAACGUGGAGCGUGCGGUCGAUACGGGCAGACUUGAGUUCGGUAGGGGAGACUGGAAUUCCUGGUGUAGCGGUGAAAUGACGCAGAUAUCAGGAGGAACACCGGUGGCGAAGGCGGGUCUCUGGGCCGAUACUGACGCUGAGGAGCGAAAGCGUGGGGGAGCGAACAGG
rnacentral:rRNA from 1 species